ACAAAAGUGGAGCCUGCAGUUUUUCCUUCUGUAGUUCACUAUGAAAUUGAGUGGCAAUAAUUUACGCUGUUCAAUAUGUCAUAAAUGGAUACGCAACAGACUACACAUAGUGGGACUGUACAACCGUCUGUGAUCCAGAGAAAAAACAUGUGUGCAGAUUAUUUUAACAAAUAAGCGGUUUGGAAUUGCUUGGAAAUAAAUGGCGACGAUGAAACCAUUCCCUUAAGGUCAAAUAGAGCCAUCCCAUAACUGGGAAAAGGAGGCCUCAAAACGGAAGCAAGUUAGGCAGCUAUGCGAGGAGAAGAUAAGUACCACCACCCACUUACUUCAAAGCAUCUGGCUAAAACUUUAAUAAGGGCACAGCAAAGGCAUUGUGUUCCUGGAGCUAAAUCUCUGUAGGAACUUACUUUUUCAGCUCUGCCUUAGAAGAGCAGCCUGAAGGAGCCACAGUAAACCACAAACAAAAACCUAUAUUCUAUUUUGGGGGGGCAUACCCUCCAACAUUUCUUCGAUGAAAAUAGGGAUGUUCUGUUCAACAACAACAUUAACAAAACUUCCCUACAUGUUCCUCUUCUCAGUACUGGAUCUGCUACCAGUCCUGGAUUAAGCUAUAAUUCCUGCAAUGCUCAAAGGAUACACAACUUUCAGCCUCAAUGAAAUCAGCUACUGCCACUCUUCAGCCUAAGCAUAACACUGUCUAGUCAAGGCAUGGCAACAAGGAAUGUGCUUCACGGGUACUGAAACAGCAAGACCCUCAAUGGAAAAUGCCAACCCUUUGUGUGGGUUUUCUCCAUAUGCUAGAUAUUCAUGCCUUUUCCAAUUCGCAUGUGUGCUUUACUCGAAUUGCAUCUAGUAAUUUAGCAUUUUUCUUCCAUCUUUCUCUAAAGUACAGAUAUCUAUUACGUACACACAGUGAGCAACGCAGGUUCUCUACAAUGACAAAUGCAUAUUCCAAACCACAAAAGCUUCUUAUGCAAAUUUAGAAAAGGAAAGAAGAAGAAAAUGAUGUUUUAUGUACAAAAAGAGAACAGGACUAUCCUGUGCUAAAUUGAUAAUGAGCAGUGUCCUUGCUUUUCAAAUGCUACCUAAGUCCAUAUUUAUUCUCGGCUACAAUGAUCACAGAGAAAAGUCCUUCAAUGAAAUUGCUUUUAAGUUUUCUUGGGCUUUUCCAGAACUUGGGUGCUAAACAUUUUUAUUCUGCGAGGCAUACAUAGGAAAUGAUAUUCUCUCUCUUGUGCAUUUUAAUGCAAUGCCCAUCUUAUUUUUUCACCCUUUGUCCCCAGAUCCUUUUUGUUUGUUCAAUUAAUCUGACUAUAAUUGUUCCUUCUUUGUAUCUUAAUCACAAAUCAGAUGUACAGUGUUUGCCAACAGCUGUGAAUAAAAGAGUAGCCCAUU